AUUGAACGCUGGCGGCAGGCCUAACACAUGCAAGUCGAGCGGAUGAAGGGAGCUUGCUCCUGGAUUCAGCGGCGGACGGGUGAGUAAUGCCUAGGAAUCUGCCUGGUAGUGGGGGAUAACGUCCGGAAACGGGCGCUAAUACCGCAUACGUCCUGCGGGAGAAAGUGGGGGAUCUUCGGACCUCACGCUAUCAGAUGAGCCUAGGUCGGAUUAGAUAGUUGGUGGGGUAAAGGCCUACCAAGGCGACGAUCCGUAACUGGUCUGAGAGGAUGAUCAGUCACACUAGAACUGAGACACGGUCCAGACGCCUACAUGAGGCAGCAGUGGGGAAUAUUGGACAAUGGUCGAAAGCCUGAUCCAGCCAAGCCGCGUGUAUGAAGAAGGUCUUCGGAGUGUAGAGCACUUUAAGUUGGGAGGAAGGUCAGUAAUUUUAUACCUUGCUGUUUUGACGUUACCAACAGAAUAAGCACCGGCUAACUUCGUG
rnacentral:rRNA from 1 species